UACGGAGGGUGCAAGCGUUAUCCGGAUUCACUGGGUUUAAAGGGUGCGUAGGUGGGUCUGUAAGUCAGUGGUGAAAUCUCCGGGCUUAACCCGGAAACUGCCAUUGAUACUAUAGGUCUUGAAUUUUCUGGAGGUGAGCGGAAUAUGUCAUGUAGCGGUGAAAUGCUUAGAUAUGACAUAGAACACCAAUUGCGAAGGCAGCUCGCUACAGGAAUAUUGACACUGAGGCACGAAAGCGUGGGGAUCAAACAGG
rnacentral:rRNA from 1 species